AGAGUUUGAUCCUGGCUCAGGACGAACGCUGGCGGCGUGCCUAAUACAUGCAAGUCGAACGAGGUGUUCUUGGGUGGUAACACCCUUGAUCACCUAGUGGCGAACGGGUGAGUAACACGUGAGGAACCUGCCCUGAAGACGGGGAUAACAGAAGGAAACUUCUGCUAAUACCCGAUGCCCCCACCGGAUCGCAUGGUCUGGUGAGGAAAUGGAUUCCGCUUCAGGAGGGCCUCGCGGCCUAUCAGCUUGUUGGUGGGGUAACGGCCCACCAAGGCUUGGACGGGUAGCUGGUCUGAGAGGACGAUCAGCCACACUGGGACUGAGACACGGCCCAGACUCCUACGGGAGGCAGCAGUAAGGAAUAUUGCGCAAUGGGCGAAAGCCUGACGCAGCAACGCCGCGUGCGGGAUGAAGGCCCUCGGGUUGUAAACCGCUUUCAGUAGGGAAGAAAAUGACGGUACCUACAGAAGAAGCCCCGGCCAACUACGUGCCAGCAGCCGCGGUAACACGUAGGGGGCGAGCGUUGUCCGGAUUUAUUGGGCGUAAAGAGCUCGUAGGCGGUUUCGUAAGUCGGAUGUGAAAACUCCAGGCUCAACUUGGAGACGCCAUUCGAUACUGCGAUGACUUGAGUCCGGUAGGGGAGUGUGGAAUUCCUGGUGUAGCGGUGAAAUGCGCAGAUAUCAGGAGGAACACCGGCGGCGAAGGCGGCACUCUGGGCCGGAACUGACGCUGAGGAGCGAAAGCGUGGGUAGCAAACAGGAUUAGAUACCCGUGUAGUCC
rnacentral:rRNA from 1 species